GCUCCCUGAAGAGAGGUUGUCCUUCCGUUGUUAUUAUUUGUGAUGUGUGUUCAAGGGCAAGCUCUCUCCAGAGGGC
rnacentral:pre_miRNA from 12 species